AAACAUUGCUUUAUGUUUACUUAUAAGGUUAACCCUGCUCAAUGAUAUAUUAAAUAGCCGCAGUACCUUGACUGUGCAAAGGUAGCAUAAUCAUUUGGCUUAUAAUUGAAGUCUAGUAUGAAUGGGAAUAUGGGUAGUUACUGUCUUACCAUAAGUUAAUGAAUUUACUAAUUAAGUGAAAAUUCUUAUAAUAAUAUAAUAGACGAGAAGACCCUAGAAAUUUUAUAUAUUUAUGUGAUUACAUAAGCUAUUUUGUUGGGGCGACAAAACAACAAUAAACUUGUUUACUAAAUAUUUGACCUUAUUGAGUAGGAUAAAUAAAUUACUCUAGGGAUAACAGCAUAAUACAAAAGAGUUUGUGACCUCGAUGUUGGACUAGGAAUAUUAUUGUUUAGAAGAUAAUAAUUAAGGCUCUGUUCGAGCUUAAUUUCCUACGUGAUC
rnacentral:rRNA from 1 species